UAGGGAAUCUUCGGCAAUGGGGGGAACCCUGACCGAGCAACGCCGCGUGAGUGAAGAAGGUUUUCGGAUCGUAAAGCUCUGUUGUUAAGGAAGAACGAGUGUGAGAAUGGAAAGUUCAUGCUGUGACGGUACUUAACCAGAAAGGGACGGCUAACUACGUGCCAGCAGCCGCGGUAAUACGUAGGUCCCGAGCGUUGUCCGGAUUUAUUGGGCGUAAAGCGCGCGCAGGUGGUUUAGAAAGUCUGAUGUGAAAGCCCACGGCUAAACCGUGGAGGGUCAUUGGAAACUAAUAAACUUGAGUGCAGGAGAGAAAAGUGGAAUUCCUAGUGUAGCGGUGAAAUGCGUAGAGAUUAGGAGGAACACCGGUGGCGAAAGCGGCUUUUUGGCCUGCAACUGACACUGAGGCGCGAAAGCGUGGGGAGCAAACAGG
rnacentral:rRNA from 1 species